UGGAGGAACUUAAAUAAAAUUUAAGUCCAAAAUUUGACUGAAAUGGAGUUGGAGUAAAAUAUAGCUUAUGAGAUCAGGUGCUGAAUUUUCUUUUUUAUUAUUAUUUUCUUUUUAUCUUUUUAAGCCUAAAAAGAUAUUUUCUUUUUAUGUUUUUAAGUUUAAAAAGAUAUUUCAGCUACAGUCAUAAAUAAUAUUACCAAACAGGUUAUGCAAUCAGCUAGCUUAUCAGUUUCAGCACCUUAACAGUUUCAGCUGCUACCUCAUCAUUUUCAGCCAGCUUAUCAGUUUCAGCUUCAUUUCAGUCAGUGUUGCCAAACAUAGCCUUAGAGCUCCCAACAAAAAUAAUAUUACCAUAUAGAAACGGAGGAAAUAUAUAUAUAUACCAUUAAUUGAGUAGGUAGUUGUUGGGUAUCCGCAAACGUAACAUAUACGGACGUCGAAGUCCACACAGUUCGAUCCUUCUUCAAAAAUGAAAAAAAAUUACAAUCAUGAAAGAGUAAUACAAAACAUAAAUGAUGUAUCGUAUACUAUAGGGGUGUAAGCGGACUACGAAAAGUCAAGAGUCCAAUCCAGUCCAGUCCAGUCCAAACUUGUCGGACUGGACUGGACUGAAAAUUUUUCGGACUGGACUCGAACUCAAAUUUUCGAGUCCAAAUAUUUUUGGACUGGAUUUGGACUCAUCCCUUUGCAGUCCAAUAAGUCCAGUCCAAUCCAGAAAUAUUUUUAUAUAUAAUAUAUAUUUAAUACAUAUAUAAUGUAUAUAUUAAAAAAAUUGAUACUAUUUUUAAAAUUUUGGAGUUUUCAACCUUCCCUCUCUAAAUAUUUCAACUAGCGCCAGACAGUUUUACUUGGGGCCAGACUAUUGCACUUAGCUCCAUUUGUUAAAUAAGUAAAUUAUACUAGCAAUACUGCAUUAGUAGGCUAGUAGCCGACUAAUUCUAUCUCACUUCACUCCUCAGUCCUUACUACUCACUUCCUCCUACUCUUCAUUUUCUUUCUACCUCGCUGUCUCGACUCUCGCAUUCUCUAUUUCUCCCUCAGAUUAAUUCUCAGUCUCUCUGCUUCCUCUCAACUUAGAUCAAGGUAAGCAUCUAAUUCAACUUUUUAUUCAUAGUAUUUUACUUUAAUUUAAGCUUUCAAUCUAAUUUUUGGAUAUUGAUAAUUGAAUCAGAUGUAAAAUGCUCAAGCAUCGCAAAAAACGUUGUGUAUCAUUGAAUCUAAAUCGGGAAAAAAGAUAUAAUAAUCGGAUUGGACUGGACUGGAUUCGGACUCAAGAAAAAAUUAUCGGAUUGGAUUGGACUGGACUCAAAAAAUAUUUGGAUCGGACUUGGACUCAAUUUCUCGAGUCCAAAAAACAUCGGACUGGAUUUGGAUUUGGCAAAGUCCAAUCUAGUCCAACAAACUUACACCCCUAGUAUACUAAAUAUAAAAUAUUAUAUACCUACGAUAAUGCUAUCUGGUUAACCAAGAAUGUCUUGACCUAGUGGUUAAGAUUGAGGUACUGUGAACACCAUCUUUAUAAACACCAUUAUCUUUGAUUUUAAAUAUAUUAACUAAGCCUUUCAUGCAUGCUAUGUUUCAAAUUAUUAUCUUUUUGGUUUUAGUUUAUUAGUUAUUACAUUAGAAAAACAUUACAAACUAGAGCAGUAGAGCCAGUUAAAAUUAUGUUAAGAUUAGUUUCUACUAAGGAUUAUGCACCAGUUAAGAUUAUGUUUCUAAAACACUAGUAGAAAAUCAAAAAAUUAAUAAUCAUUAUUAUUAUUGUUAACCUUAAUUAUUAUUAUGUAAUUAUUAUUAUUAUUAUUAUUAUUAUUAUUAUUAUUGUUAACCUUAAUUAUUAUUAUGUAAUUAUUAUUAAUAUUAUUAUAUGUAAUUAUUAUUAUUAUUAUUAUUAUUAUUAUUAUUGUUAACCUUAAUUAUUUGACCAUGAUUAUAAUAUUAUUCAAUAGCAAUAUGAAUAAUCAAAUAAUAGACAAUAAUACAAGUAUAAUACUAUACAUUGUGGUACUUUAAUAAAAAAUUCUAAUAAUAACAUAAUCAGCUAAUAGUAAUAUGAAUAAUAAAAUAAUAGACAUAAUACAAAUAAAUAAUAAAAUAAUAGACAUAAUACAAAUAAAUAAUAAAAUAAUAGACACUAAUACAAGUAUAAUACUAUAUAAUCAUUGUGGUACUUUAAUUAAAAUUCUAAUAAUAACAUAAUCAGCUAAUAGUGAUAUGAAAUUAUGAAUAACAAAAUAAUGGACAAUAAUACAAAUGUUUAUUAAACAUUGACUAUUUGGACCUUAUUAGACCUGAUUGGAACUUAUUGGACCUUAUUAGACCUGAUUGGAACUUAUUGCACCUGAUUGGAACUUAUUGGACCUUAUUAGACCUUAUUGGAACUUAUUGGACCUUAUUAGACCUUAUUGGAACUUAUUGCCCUUAUUAGACCUUAUCAAAACUUAUCUGAACUUAUCAAAACUUAUCUGAACUUAUCUGGACUUAUUGGACCUGAAACUUAAUUUUUUAAGUUGAACAGAACGCACCCUGAGUCAUUCCUUAGUUCUUGGUGAGUUGGGACCUGGUCUAUAUGCAUUAAGUAGAAGACAGAAUAAAGAAUCUACAGUAGAAGCAUCGGCUAGUACAACUAUACUAGAGGAAUAAAAAAAAAUGAACACAUACAAUCAUUUUCCUUCCUGUAUCAACCUUUAUUGAGAUUACAUUUACCUUCGUGUCCAUGAGAUAGCAACGCACAGAUAUAUAUAUUUUCCAAAUUACAACCUUUACUUAGCUUUAAGGAUUUUUUGGUUAAAACACCCUUACGUUUGGUGAUUUUUAAAACAAUCCCCCUUUUGUUUUUUUUUUUUUAAAAUGAACCACCAAACGUUUUAUAAAAAUUUUGGUUGCACCCCCAAAACCUAACUUCCGUCAAAUUAAGACGUUUGUGGGGCUCUUUUUCCAUUUUCCCUCCUAAAUGUUUCGUGCAAUGACAUUUGUAUCCUUGGGUGAUAAAACCCUUCAACUAACCUCUUCAUCUCUCUCAUUCAAUUCCUUCGUCCUCUGAUUUCAUCUCUCUCCCUUGGUUCAGUCAAAUAUUCAUCUUCUCUCUCUUGUCAUCAUCUAAUCCUUUUCAUCUUCUCUUUCAGUCUCUCUCAUCUAGCACACACUCUCUCUCUCGUCAGCAUGGAGACUGGUACAAUGACAGAAAAGGGGAAACUUUUACUGACGGUAAAACAAGAGCAUGGUGCCCAAAAUAGAUGAAUUAUGUUGCUCCUUCUGUGAAUGAGGCUGAAUCUGUGUCACAAAACCACUCCUGUCCUCCUCCACUAUCAAGUCAAGCAUCAAGCAGUCAAGGUACAACCACCAAGCAGCCAAGCAAGGGCCCUGCAAUAUCUCUGUCUCAGUCCUCUAAGGCAGCACCAAGACCCAAGUUGCCAACUAAGUCACUGAAGAAGACAGCUUAAAAUUGUGGACAAUUAAUCUUGUAAUAGUGUUUUAGACUAGUGAGAAACAUUAAGUUCAUGUUAUGUAACUCAUUUAUCCUUUAUGUUAUGUUGUGUACUAUGACAGUUAAUUAGUUAUGUGUGCAAUGAAAUGAAGACUUUUAAAUUCACCAAA